UUCUUUCCUUCUUUUUUGAGACAGAGUCUCGCUCUGUGGCCCAGGCUGGAGUGCAGUGGCGCAAUUUCAGCUCACUGCAACCUCCGCCUUCCUAGUUCAAGCGAUUCUCUUGCCUCAGCCUCCCGAGUAGCUGGGACUACAGGCACGCGCCAGCACGCCCGCCUAAUUUUUGUGUUUAGUAGAGACGGGGUUUCACUGUUGGCCAGAAUGGUCUCGAACUCUUGACCUCGUGAUCCGCCCGCCUCGGCCUCCCAAAGUGCUGGGAUUACAGGCGUGAGCCACCACGCCCGGCGCGAGUGUUUACAAUUGUUGUCUGGGAGUCAUAGCAAACGUGAACACACUUUGUGGUUUUUUGUGUGUAUGUUUUUGUUUGUUUUUUUUUGUUUUCCUUCUUGAGACAGGGUCUCGCGCUGUCGCCCAGGCUAGAAGGCAGUGGCGCCAUCACAGCUCACUGCAGCCUGGAUUUCCCGCUCUCAAACCAUCCAGCCCUCAGCCUCCCAAGUAGCGGGGACCACAGGUGCAAGCCACCAUGCCCGACUAAUUUUUUUUUUUUUUUGUAUUUUUAGUAGAGAUGGGGUUUCACCAUGUUGGCAAGGCUGGUCUCCAACUGCUGGCCUCAAGUGAUCCUUGCCCGCCUCGGCCUCCCAAAGUGCUGGGAUCACAGGCGUGAGCCACCGCGCCCCUCUACGUUUUUAUUUAUUCCUAAUAACUACUUUAUUGUGAUUCUUAAAGAGCUUUAACUUUUCUUGAGAUAAUUUUAAACUCACAGGAAAGGUGAAGAAUAAUACCAAGAGAGACUAACAGCAGGACGGCAUGAAGAGCUCGGGAUUCACCCCUAGUGAAACUGAAAAUUAUUUAAAACAACAAACAACCAUUAACCAUUUAAAGCCUUUGAAAUGGUCCUAAGGGCAAACAGCAAAUGAAGAAACAUCUGUUCCAAAAAAUCUAUGAAAACUCUUGGAUCAGAAUGUGAGAGUCAGUCUGUGGUAUUUAAACCAAACCUCUCCCUUUGUUCAGCAAGAGACUCCACUCCAGACUGCUGCAACUCAGAACCUCUCUCUUCCCACAGCUCCCAGUCAGAGACCAGCAUAUCAGCAUUUCUCAUCUUGCCCCUAGCUACCUGAUGCUGAAGGUAAAUCCUGGGGGAGUGUGGUGGAGAGGUGGGAGAUUCCUUCUUCCAUCCAGAGGCUCUACCUUGGGUGGAGUGCUGAGACACCAGAGGAGACUUCAGCUCUUUUUCUCCAUCACUUUCACCCCAUAUUCACCCCCAACCUUUUUUUUUAAUCUCUCCAUCUUCCCAAGAUAGUUAUAUUCUGUUUGAUUAAUCUUCAGUAUAUAUGCUAUUAUAAUCAUGUAAACGGUAGUCACAGCCAAGUUAUGUACCAAACUAUGAUUACUUUUCCUUUCCCACACAACUUUUAGUUUUUUCUGGAGUUAAUAAUUGUCUUGUUUUGUUGGUUUUUCCAUGUAAUUCUAUCCUAAACUCUGUCAGUUAUCCAAGUUUGGUUUUUUGUUUGUUUUUGAGACAGGGUCUCACUCCAGGCUGGAGUGCAGUGACCCGAUCACAGCUCACUGCAGCCUUAACCUCCCAGGUUCAAGUGAUCCUUCUGCCUCAGCCUCCUGAGUAGCUAGGACUACAGGUCCUAGCAUGCCACCAUGCUAGGUGUGCCACUACAGGUGCCACCAUGCCCAGCUAAUUCUUUAAAAAAAAAUUUGUGGCCCGGCGCAAUGGCUUAUGCCUGUAAUCCCAGCACUUUGGGAGGCUGAGGCGGGUGGAUCACGAGGUCAGGAGUUCAAGACCAGCCUGGCCCAGAUAGUGAAACCCCAUCUCUACUAAAAAUACAAAAAAUUAACUGGGUGUGAUGGCGGGCGCCUGUAAUCCCAGCUACUCAGGAGGCUAAGGCAGAGAAUUGCUUGAACCCGGGAGGCGGAGGUUGCAGUGAGCCUAGAUUAUGCCAGUGCACUCUAGCCUGGGAGACAGAGUAAGACUCCAUCUCAAAAAAAAAAAAAAAAAAAAAAAAAAAAAAAAUAUAUAUAUAUAUAUAUAUAUAUAUAUAUAUAUCUAGUAGAAGCGGGGGUCGUGGGUGGCAGGGAGUCUUGCUAUGUUGCCCAGGCUGGUUUUGAACUUGCCUCAAGUGAUCUUCCUGCCUAGGUCUUCCAAAGCACUGGGAUUACAGGCAUGACCACUGCUGCUCUUGGCCUUUCUUAUCUUUUUAGUACACCAAGAAAAUUUUAUUACAGAUCAGCACCUGUCCUUAAUUUGGAAACUACUAUUCAAGAACACCUAGCUUAGCACCUCCAUCACCACCUCCAACCCACCCUAUCCCAAGUGAAAGCCAUUUCUGGUUGUCAGUAGAACCAUCAUAGUGGACUUACCCCAGGCCCACCUUGCAUGCCCACUGAUUCUUACCACUUCAACACACACCAGUAUGACUUCUAACCCAGCAUAUCCAUAUGUCGUUCCCUGAGGGCUUUUUCUGGCUCACAUUGGAAGCCCAUGUUGUCAUCCCAUUUGGCAAACCAGUAGGGGCAGGCAUUUAACCCCCUACCCCUGUGCCAUCCUUAUCCUUUGGCUUCAGCAGCCCUCAAAGAAUGACUGUAUACACCUAUGUUGACACUCCCACCUGCAGUCCACUUUCCAUUUACAUCCUCUUAAAAUCAGCCACCCCUUGGGCUUAGGGAUGUGCAUACUUGCAGCAUAGUUUGUCCCUGGGGUAUGGACUUGGGGAAGAGGCCAAUGUAGGCCCUGGUGGGAGGCUCAGGGCUCUUUGCGUAGAGAACUUCAGGUCUUAGGUACCCAAAGAGGGUUUAUUCUUUUUGUUUUUUUGAGACGUAGUCUCACUCUGUCACCCAGGCUGGAGUGUAGUGGCACAAUCCUGGCUCACUGCAACCUCUGCCUCCCAGGCCCAAGCAAUUCCCUUGCCUCGGCCUCUCAAAUAGCUGGGAUUAUAUGCGCGCACCACCAUAUCCGGCUGAUUUUUGUAUUUUUAGUGGAGACAGGGUUUCACUACGUUGGCCAGGCUGGUCUUGAACUCCUGGCCUCAAGUGAUCUGCCCACCUUGGCCUCCCAAAGUGCUGGAAUUACAGGCGAGAGCCACCACACCCAGCCCCAAAGAGGGUUUUAAACAGAGGGUCUCGGUGUGGGCAUGUCCUCUUGACCUUGCAGACUCCUCCCACCUCUGAUGAUUCUCCUCACCUGAGGGAAGGGCACAGCCCAAGAAGAGCCGGAGCAAGGCCCUUCUAAAUCAGGGCCCACAACAGGACCCCCAGUGCCUGGGUCCAAGGGCAGUAUUGCUUAAGCCUCUCUGACUUUCUGUUUCCACACUUAACAAAGUAGCAACAAAUGUUCACGUUUUCAUCAAAUUCACUGGUUGUAAACCUUGGCUGCACAUUAGACUGUCCCCAAGGAGCUGCAAAAACCUCAGUGGCCAGGUACCAUUCCAGACUAAUUGUAUCAAAAUCUCUGAGAGUGAGACCCAGGGAUUGGUAGUUUUUAAAGCUCCCCGUGUGAUUUCAAUGUACAGUUAAGAUUCAGAACAACUGAUCUAAUCCAAACAUUUUCUCACUCCGUCAACCACAACCCAAUUUUCAGAUGAAGAAUCUGAGGCUUAAAGUGAGUUAAUAAAUUGAGACAUCUCACAACUAGCUAGUGACAGGACUAGGACAGGAUGCC
rnacentral:lncRNA from 1 species